rnacentral:tRNA from 1 species
UACUUUGGUAGUUUAUAAAAAUACCGGGGUGUGGUACCGGAGACGCCCUUCAGCCCAGAGUAA